AUGAAGAAGCGUCGAGAAGCCAAAGAGGCGCAGAUCAAGAAGGAGGAAGAAGCAGCGCGGGAGGCAGCUGCCAAAGAAGCGAAGAAGAACGAAGCGCCAGCGGUAUCAGCCGCAGCAACUAUGAUGAGCGGUAUGAACACCGUUGCCGGGGCCAUGAAUCCGGCCAUGUUCCAAAUGAAUGCCGCAAUGAAUCCUGCCGCUGCGAUGGCAGGCUUUGGUGCUUACGGUUUCCCUGGUUAUGGGGCUUUUCCAGGAAUGGCGGUGCCGCCCCCUAUGGCUCAGCAAACCACUCAGGCAACCAUGAAUCAGUUCCCAGGAAUGAAUGCUGCAGCCAUGAAUCCAGAAACCAACACGGCUCCACUUGAUUUCCUGAAGUCCGGAAGCAAGGGUAUUCCUGGCUUAGACCUUGUUGGUCAAGAAGGAGACUCUGGGAACAGAAAUGAUCCGAGUAAAAACAGUCAAGAAAGGAACGACUACUCUGGCCGCGACAUGAACAAACCUUUAACUACCUCCGAUGACAAACCGUUCCAGUUUCCGCCUCCUGUCGGGCAGAUGCCCCCAUUCAUGCAAGGAGCCAAUCAGCAAGUUGGUAUGCCUCCAUCGUUCGCACCAAAUGUUGCUCCACCUGCAGCUGGAAUGUUCUCAGCACCACCGCCAGAUGGAUUCGGAAUGACCCCAGCUGCUGGUGCACCCAAUAUGUAUGGAAUGCCAAAUCCCAUGCAAAUGUACCCAGGAAUGCCCAAUGCAGGAUUUACAACUGCCCCACCAACUGCAGCCCCAUUCAAUCAAAAUAGUUCUCAAGGUCCAAAUGCCUACGGCGGCGACAAAGCCAAAUCGGGCGACUCGUCCAACCGAUUCGGUAGAGGACAAGAUUCGCAAUCUGACAAUUUUCGAUCUCAGAAUAAUUACUUUGACUCGUCAGGUGGAAAAGAGAAAGGGCCUGGCGGUCUCCUCCAGAAACCAGCAGGAUUCGAUCAGCGCGGAGGAGGAAGGUUCAACCGGGACUUACAAGAUUCUAGUCAAUACCCAGAUGACGAUAUGGAUGUACAAAGCAACGGGUCUUUCAAUAGGUCUUACGAUGAUCAAGAAUAUUCUGAUUAUAAUAAAUUCAAAAGUGGGCCACCUGGGUUUGAUCCCAAGAAUAAGCCUCCUGGUUUCAUGGAUAGAUCAGGCCCUCGAGACACCGGGAGCAAAGGCUUCAAUCAGCGAAAAAGCAGGUUUGACGAUCCCAUUACCGACCGAGAACCGUCGAAAACUUCUCUUGGAGGUAGUUUGAAUAAUGCUGGUAGCCUCCUAAGGCCAAGCUACUUAAUGGAUAAAAGAGACGCUCUUGAACGGAUACGAACCAGUGCCGGACUCCCACCUUUAAGCUCAAUCACUGACGCUCCGUUCGGUCAAAGUUCAGCUAUGAAUGAUUUUAGAUCAAAAGGUCGAGGACAGUUCGAUAACUCAAGGACCAGAGAGCCUUUCGAAGAGCGAGGACAAUUUGAUGGACCGAAUAGUGGAGACCAAUUCAAUGAAAUGGAUGAUAGGUUUGAUGAGCCUCGGGGUCGUGGAAAGUUUGAUGAACCUAGGGACGUGGCAGAUUUGAUGAGCCCAGAGGACGUGGCAGGUUCGAGGCAAGGGGACGUGGUCGUUUCGAUGGAUCUGAUAGAGGAUUCGAUAGCAGGAAUAAGUUUGAUACGGAGAACAAGUUUCCAGAUGAUGAUUUUGGACCUCCGAGACCCUUUAGAGAUGAAAAUUUGUCACCAGGCAAUAUACCUAAUAGUGAUAGACCGAAAUGGGGCCGACCUGAGCCAGCGCCUACACCCGCACCAUCACGUUUUGAGCCAGCUCCAGUUCGCCCUCGUUUGGAAGUAGAAUUCCUGAGGCCUGCUAAAGUCAUAGAUUACAACCAUAAAAGACUUGAACCUGGUAAGUUUACAUCCUCAAAUGUAUCUUGACUCAAUUUUUUUUUUUUUUUUUUUUUUUUUUUUUUUUUUUUUAGGACAGGCUUAAGGCAAGGCGGAUAAAGAAUGGUGGUCGCAUUUCGUACCCUCUGGACGUCACACGGUAUCGGGUACAUCGGGUACAUGGGCCGGCCGAGGCCGGGGGAGCCGGCCAAGCCGGCUCAAUGCAUGGCAAAAACCGUACCCUCUUGACGUCACAGCGCUUCAAGAUGGCAGCCAAAAUCGAAAUGCGACCACCAUUCUUUAUCCGCCUUGGGCUUAAGGAAUGAGCUCUAUGCAUUGUCAAGGGACUUGUCAAUUUCUUAAAUGUUUCCCAGGAAAUGAAUAAUUGUCCUUAGUCAGUAGGAAUUGAAAUCAAGAGGCUAG
rnacentral:lncRNA from 1 species